NGCCUGGUGGCUAUGGCGAGGAGGCCUAACCCGAUCCCAUCCCGAACUCGGCCGUUAAACUCCUCAGUGCCGAUGGUACUAUGUCUUAAGACCUGGGAGAGUAGGUCGUCGCCAGGCCU
rnacentral:rRNA from 1 species